GUGCAGCAGGCGCGAAACCUUUACACUGCACGCAAGUGCGAUAAGGGGACCCCAAGUGCGAGGGCAUAUAGUCCUCGCUUUUCUCGACUGUAAGGCGGUCGAGGAAUAAGAGCUGGGCAAGACCGGUGCCAGCCGCCGCGGUAAUACCGGCAGCUCAAGUGAUGACCGAUAUUAUUGGGCCUAAAGCGUCCGUAGCCGGCCACGAAGGUUCAUCGGGAAAUCCGCCAGCUCAACUGGCGGGCGUCCGGUGAAAACCACGUGGCUUGGGACCGGAAGGCUCGAGGGGUACGUCCGGGGUAGGAGUGAAAUCCCGUAAUCCUGGACGGACCACCGAUGGCGAAAGCACCUCGAGAAGACGGAUCCGACGGUGAGGGACGAAAGCUAGGGUCUCGAACCGGAUUAGAUACCCGGGUAGUCCUAGCUGUAAACGAUGCUCGCUAGGUGUGACACAGGCUACGAGCCUGUGUUGUGCCGUAGGGAAGCCGAGAAGCGAGCC
rnacentral:rRNA from 1 species